rnacentral:rRNA from 1 species
GUAGGUGGCAAGCGUUGUCCGGAAUUAUUGGGCGUAAAGCGCGCGCAGGCGGUUUUUUAAGUCUGAUGUGAAAGCCCACGGCUCAACCGUGGAGGGUCAUUGGAAACUGGAGAACUUGAGUACAGAAGAGGAAAGCGGAAUUCCACGUGUAGCGGUGAAAUGCGUAGAGAUGUGGAGGAACACCAGUGGCGAAGGCGGCUUUCUGGUCUGUAACUGACGCUGAGGCGCGAAAGCGUGGGGAGCAAACAGGGAUUAGAUACCCUGGUAGUCCACGCCGUAAACGAUGAGUGCUAAGUGUUAGGGGGUUUCCCGCCCCUUAGUGCUGCAGCUAACGCAUUAAGCACUCCGCCUGGGGAGUACGGCCGCAAGGCUG